rnacentral:rRNA from 1 species
AGGCCUAACACAUGCAAGUCGAGGGGCAGCACAAGGAGCAAUCUGAGGUGGCGACCGGCGGCACGGGUGAGUAACACGUAUGCAACCUGCCUGUAAGCGGGGAAUAACCCGUUGAAAGACGGACUAAUACCGCAUAAUACUAAAUUACUGCAUGGUAAUUUAUUUAAACAUUUAUGGCUUACAGAUGGGCAUGCGCAUGAUUAGCUAGUUGGAGAGGUAACGGCUCCCCAAGGCAACGAUCAUUAGGGGUUCUGAGAGGAAGGUCCCCCACACUGGUACUGAGACACGGACCAGACUCCUACGGGAGGCAGCAGUGAGGAAUAUUGGUCAAUGGACGAGAGUCUGAACCAGCCAAGUCGCGUGCAGGAAGAAUGUUCCCUAUGGAUUGUAAACUGCUUUUGCAGGGGAAUAAAGUGCAUCACGUGUGAUGUUUUGUAUGUACUCUGCGAAUAAGGAUCGGCUAACUCCGUGCCAGCCGCCGC